GCGCACCGACCGGCCUCGAGCGCCCCGGCGGGAGGUUUUUCUAUAUGAGUGGAGAAGACAGCUGUUACCAGGGAGGUCAUACAGCAUUUUUUUAGGAUGUCUGAAGAUGAAGAAAAAGUGAAAUUACGCCGUCUUGAACCAGCUAUCCAGAAAUUCAUUAAGAUAGUAAUCCCAACAGACCUGGAAAGGUUAAGAAAGCACCAGAUAAAUAUUGAGAAGUAUCAAAGGUGCAGAAUCUGGGACAAGUUGCAUGAAGAGCAUAUCAAUGCAGGACGUACAGUUCAGGUAAGGCUUUUAUAUUUUUUCUGCUAAAUCAGUAUGAAAAAGACAGUCUUAAGACAAUUUUGCUAAAAUAUUACCUUUGCAGCUGAACCCUUUUAUACACAUUUGUUACUGUUUACUUGAGGAUACAUUUUUAGCAGAAAUUGCUGAGUCACAUGCCAUACAUAUUUUUAAAGUUUGUUUUAUUACCAAAUUUUCCUCCAGAAAUGAUACACAGACUUAUACUCUCACAAGCAAUACAUUUUGUAAAUCCUUUAACAUUGGUAUUAACCAUUUCUUAAAUUUUUGCUAAUUGAUAGGUUAAAAUUGUGCCACUUCAUUGUUCUA
rnacentral:sRNA from 1 species